rnacentral:tRNA from 1 species
UGGCGUCCGGGCUGCCGGACGAGACGAUUCGGACGCUGUGGCUGGCCGCCGACCGGGGCCGGUUCGAUCCGGCCGGCGCGGGC